AUGCUUACCUGGCAGGUGAAAUACCAUGAUCACGAAGGUGGUUUUCCUAGGGCGAGGCUUAUCCAUUGCACUCUGGAUGUGCUGUCCCCUGCGAUUUCCCCAAAUGUGGAAAACUUGACUGCAUAAUUUGUGCUAGUGAGGGCCUGCAUCCUCCCUCU